AUUGAACGCUGGCGGCAGGCCUAACACAUGCAAGUCGAGCGGAUGAAGGGAGCUUGCUCCUGGAUUCAGCGGCGGACGGGUGAGUAAUGCCUAGGAAUCUGCCUGGUAGUGGGGGAUAACGUCCGGAAACGGGCGCUAAUACCGCAUACGUCCUGAGGGAGAAAGUGGGGAUCUUCGGACCUCACGCUAUCAGAUGAGCCUAGGUCGGAUUAGCUAGUUGGUGGGGUAAGGGCCUACCAAGGCGACGAUCCGUAACUGGUCUGAGAGGAUGAUCAGUCACACUGGAACUGAGACACGGUCCAGACUCCUACGGGAGGCAGCAGUGGGGAAUAUUGGACAAUGGGCGAAAGCCUGAUCCAGCCAUGCCGCGUGUGUGAAGAAGGUCUUCGGAUUGUAAAGCACUUUAAGUUGGGAGGAAGGGCAGUAAGUUAAUACCUUGCUGUUUUGACGUUACCAACAGAAUAAGCACCGGCUAACUUCGUG
rnacentral:rRNA from 1 species